rnacentral:lncRNA from 1 species
GUAUUUCAGGACAGCCAGGCAGGGGUGGACGUCCUCCGAGAAACUGAGCAAGUGUCUGUGCUGAGCUCUGGCACCACCAGAGGGCGUAAGAACCCACCCCUGACCAACUUCCCUCUGAGGUGCCAGAAGCAGCGAGGAGCUUCAACUCCCUCAGGGCAGCACGAGGGUCCUGUCAACUAAGUGUUGUUCAUUGAAACACAUGGGCGAGUGGGCUCCAUGUCAGUUUGUAUUUCCAGAACGAUGGCCCUGAACACUUCUCCCUCUGACUUUAAGGGCGCGUGCCCACCGCCAGCGCCAGCACGAGGGCCCUGCAGUGCCCCCGGCUGCCAGCAGAGGGUGCGCGAGCCCUGCUUUUCUAAUCCCGGAGGCCACAGCGUCCUGCCCGUUUCCUCGGCGCAGGCCCUUGCGGGUUCUCCUCAGCACAGACCACGGGAUGCCCCUCACUUUGGGACACCUCGAACCCGCGUCCACGGUGCAGACCCCGCAUUCCCGGUAGGAACACCCUGGCCUGGUGCCGCGCUCUGCUCAGUGCAGCCCACCUGGAGGAUCUUCCAUCCCACCACCACCGGCGAUCUCACUUGGUAAUGUCAAAACAUUUAUUUACAGUCACAGAUUUCAUCCUGUCAAGCUCUGGAUUGAAGUUUGCCAGGGGUUUCCCAAUGGCCUUAGAACGAUGGCCUCCAGACCCUGCGUGCUCCUGCCUGCUGCCCUCUCCCAUCCAGUCUGCUACAGCUGCCUGCAGUCCACCUGUGGGGACGCGGGCUCCCGGGUGUCUCAGCGUGGAUUUUAUAUGUGUUCUCCCAGCCCGUUCACCCAGUGAUCACCUUAGGUUUUCAAGGCUUUGUCAAGGGCAUGAAUCUCUCAGGGGCGAGAAGCAGCAGCAGAGCCUCACCCGGUCUAUGUACAGAAAGGCAGCUGUGUACCUGCUGGAUGACCCCUGGUGGCUCUGGAUGCUCACGUCGGCCAGCACACCUUCAGCCAGGUCAUCAGGCCUGGCGGACUACUCCAAGGAACAGUCCAUCGAGUCAAUCCUUGAGAAGGACCACACCACUUCAUUAGCCCAGAGAGGGGUUCCUCUAGAUGACCCUGACAGGACAGCAUGGCCAACAGGAAAGGACAGCGUGCGAUAUGACACGAUAAGGAAGCUGAGACACAGAGAGGUUUGGCCACUGGUUUAG